rnacentral:misc_RNA from 1 species
GAUGAAGAACGUAGCGAAAUGCGCUAAGUAAUGUGAAUUGCAGAAUUCAGUGAAUCAUCGAAUCUUUGAACGCACAUUGCGCCCGCCAGUAUUCUGGCGGGCAUGCCUGUUCGAGCGUCAUUUCAACCCUCAGGCCCCCAGUGCCUGGUGUUGGGGAUCGGCCCAGCCUUCCUGUAAGGCCGCCGGCCCCGAAAUCUAGUGGCGGUCUCGCUGUAGUCCUCCUCUGCGUAGUAGCACAACCUCGCAGUUGGAACGCGGCGGUGGCCAUGCCGUUAAACACCCCACUUCUGAAAGUUGACCUCGGAUCAGGUAGGAAUACCCGCUGAACUUAAGCAUAUCAAUAAGCGGAGUA